rnacentral:pre_miRNA from 1 species
AGAGGGAUAGUUGGGUCAAAUGGUGGUUCCAUUCCCAGAUUUCCAAGGAAUCUCCAUACUGCUUUCCAUAUUGGCUGCACCAAUUUGCAGACCCACCAGCAAU